AGCAAGUCAAGGGGACCCUCCCCUCCCGCUCCUCCCACACUGCACAGCGGGUUCCAGCCAGGGCAGUGAGGCAAGAACAUGGAACUCAAAUCACCGAGAUUAGCAAAAAAGAUGUAGAAGUACGCCUCACGCCGUAGGUGGAAUCGCCUAAGGAAUCUACAAAGAUAAAAUAAAAUGAAGUAAAACCUGAUAAGAUGAUCGAAGGAGUUUAACAAGAUCAUGGGGCGUAGGAUAUUUCUGCACUGACAGUGAACACCCCAAGAUGAAAUGCAGAAAGCGUCCUGGUCAAAUAGCAUCAGAAAGAAUAAGCUACUUAGGAAUAAUUUCGCAAAGGAAGUGUGAGACUUGUACGCUGCAAACUGCGAAACAUGGCUGGUAAAAAGACCCAAAGAAAACCUGAACAGAUGGAGAGACUUCCCACAUCGAGGCUGAAAGGCUGAACCCUGCGCAGACGGCGGGGCUCCCGCGGUGCUCCGUGUGGCCUUCAUCCCCCUCUGGCCGUGUUCCCUCCCCGGCUCAGAGCCACUCCUCCUAGUUACCACCCUCGGCCCUCCCUCUGCAAGCCCAGGAUGCCCGGGCCACAGGCCGGUGAGCUGGGGAUCCAGCCUCUCCUGGCGUUUUACCCACGUAGGUGACAACUGACGGCACUGGAGCAGAGAGGCUGACUGCCCGAGGAGACCAGGGAGGCUUGGACCCCAGGCUGGAGGGGGCCGGGGACCCAGACCCACUCACUUGAUUUGGAAGGACACAGGGCUGUCAAACCUAUGCAGGGUCAUCACACCCGGCCCUUCGUUUGUCCCUUUUCGGCCAAGCUCAGGACCCUGUAACCCAGGAAGACAAGCUCGUGGUUCUGAGAUGACCCAGGGAAUUGGCCAAUCCCACCCGAAACCCUUGUUCCUUCCUCUGGUCAUUGACGUUCCUCCCAGACGGCUUCGAGAGCCCCGCAGAUCCUUCCACUACUCCCCAGCCUAGAAGAUCCAGGGACAGAAGCCCUCGAGGUUCUGGCUGGGCCCACGUGCUGAGAUGCCUCUGAGAAAGCUGUCUUUCCAUGGUGGAUCCCGCUGGAUGCCCGUGAACACGGGGCCAGCUUGCAGAGAGCUGGAAGGAGGCCUCCUGGCGGCACCCAGGCCUGACACAGGAUGGCACAGCAGAUGCAACCGUGGGCCUGGGGCCUGGGGUUCCUGGUUGGUGGCCAGGAGAGGCGGCCAGAAGACUCCAUGGCUCCCAGGGCCCAGUCGCAGCUGAGAGGCUCCCCGUCACGAUGGCCAAUAGCCCUUUCUCCAAGGACAAGGAUGGGAUGCUACAUGCCGCUCCUGACGCCGUGGCACGGAAUCACGCUGCGCGUCCCUUGUUUCCGGAUUUCUCUUCUGUGGCUUAUUGAUGGCACUCAAGCACCGCACAGCAAUGACGUCUGUCCUGGCAGGGCACACGCACUCUGCGUCUGAAUGAGUAUUGAGCUAAUUCCAAAGCCCAGCAGAGACGUGGGCGCGCGUUUAUCUGGAGGAGACCAGGCGCGCCAUGGUUGGCUCUGGCCGCGGGACCCUGGGCUGAGCACCGACCCAGGCCACCCCAAGUCACCAAAAGAGGGUAGGGAGGGGUGGACAAAAGUAUUUAUUUUGCCUAUUUUCUUGCCAGUGUCCAGAUUCAAAUGUACUGUUUUUAAACUACAUUAGCACUUUCUGCCCUGUGGCCUGCAAUGAUUGUGCUGUGAUUAUUCAACACCAUAAAUAAUAAUGCAGCAUUUCACCAAAAAAAAAAAAAAAA
rnacentral:lncRNA from 1 species